AGAUGUUGGGUUAAGUCCCGCAACGAGCGCAACCCCUGCCUUUAGUUGCCACCAGGUUAUGCUGAGCACUCUAAAGGGACUGCCGGUGAAAAACCGGAGGAAGGUGGGGAUGACGUCAAGUCCUCAUGGCCUUUAUGUCCAGGGCUACACACGUACUACAAUGGGUGGCACAAUGAGUCGCAAACCCGCGAGGGGGAGCCAAUCUCAAAAAACCACUCUCAGUUCGGAUUGCAGUCUGCAACUCGACUGCAUGAAGCUGGAAUCGCUAGUAAUCGCUGAUCAGCAAGCAGCGGUGAAUACGUUCCCGGGCCUUGUACACACCGCCCGUCACAUCACGAAAGCCAGUUGUACUAGAAGCCGGCAAUUCAACCGCAAGGAGAUAGCCGUCCAAGGUAUGACUGGUGAUUGGGGUGAAGUCGUAACAAGGUAA
rnacentral:rRNA from 1 species